GUGACGCCCCCUUCAUUUGCCACCAUUGAGGGGAAUGUCCAAUAGACCCAUGGGCAGGCUAAAGGGGAUUGAAUUCACAUCAUUGUGUCUAAAGAGCUUGAGAUCUAUAGCUCAUUGAUAGCUGUAGUACCCCCUCAGUAGUUUCCAUCCGUUCUACCAAUGAGUUCCACCCUUUCAUCCCUCCAUGUUCUAAUGCAUUCUUGCCUUUUCGCUAUCCUGUAGUGUUAAUAUAGAGGGAAUGGUCCUUUAACUGAAGGGAAGGUAUGAUAAUGUUAAUACCCC
rnacentral:lncRNA from 1 species